UACAGAGGUCCCGAGCGUUGUUCGGAUUCAUUGGGCGUAAAGGGUGCGUAGGCGGCGGGGAAAGUCUGAUGUGAAAUCCUGGGGCUCAACCCUGGAACUGCAUUGGAUACUUCCUUGCUAGAGUACUGGAGAGGAAACUGGAAUUUACGGUGUAGCAGUGAAAUGCGUAGAGAUCGUAAGGAAGACCAGUGGCGAAGGCGGCUCACUGGACCGGUACUGACGCUGAUGCGCGAAAGCGUGGGGAGCAAACGGG
rnacentral:rRNA from 1 species